CGCUGGCCAUCUAGCGGACGCGCCUACUGUUCUGUCUGGAAAUGAACACAAUUCUGUGUACUUAUAAAAUUAUCGCUAUGCCGUCGCGCGAAAACUCUAAAAAAAAUAAUAUUAUGUCGAAAGACGUUUGUUGUGUAUCGUAAUGCGUGUCAUCGCGUGGGAAAGACAGCAACGGAUCACUUCAUGGUUUCGCGAAAUGAGCAGACGGCACGCUUUGGAAAGCGACGUGGAAUAGAACCUUGCCCGUGGAGAAAUCGCGGUUUGGUGCGAAGUACUUCACUCGCGACGACUUCUUUCUCCCCGGGAGGCCCCGUGUGCGCAGGUCACUACCAUUCGGGGAGCCAGCACAUCGCCGCUGUCUGGUCAUCAUGGAUCGGGAGACGGAGAUCGACAUGGAGACCCUGCUGCAGAACAUACGUGACGGCAGUGCUGUGCCUCUUAGGAGGGACAUCGUGGUGCAGCCCACAGCGCAAGAUGCAGAGAUGCUCCUCCGACAGCCUGGCCGUCGGCUGCUUUCCAAGCGCCUGCUUGUGCUAUGGCAGCGAGUCCGGACAUUGCCCAGACCAAAUGACGAUGAGCCAGCCAUGGCCACUGAAGAACCAG